AGCCCUAAGUAUUUAUUUAGGGUGAAGCCUGCUCAAUGAAUAAAUUUUUAAUAGCCGCGGUACCCUGACCGUGCUAAGGUAGCAUAAUCAGUUGACUUUUAAAUGAAGUCUGGAAUGAAGGGAAUAACGGGAUUAAGCUGUUUCAAUUUUCUUUUUUCGAACUUACUAACUAGGUGAGAAGGCCUAGAUAUGAUAAAAGACGAGAAGACCCUUAGAGUUUUAAUAUAUUUUUGUUGGGGCGGCAUGAAAUCACUUUAAACAUUUCAAAUGGAAUAAGACAGAUUUUUCAUGAAUAUAUAAACUACCUAAGGGAUAACAGCACUAUCCUAUUGGGUUUGUGACCUCGAUGUUGGACUAGGAAGCCUAUAAGCUAGUCGCUUAUAAGGGGGAUUCUGUUCGAAUUUUUACUCCU
rnacentral:rRNA from 1 species